rnacentral:lncRNA from 1 species
AUGAUUCGCCUGCAGGGAAGACUGUGCUGUAACAGAGCCGAGUCAAAACCAUCCAUAUGGCAACAUCUCAAGAACCAGCCCUUCGGCAGCCCAGCUUCUCUUAAGCCUAGAAAGUUGCAAAGGGGUUGCCUGGGAAAUGAGGUAAGUGUGAAGUGUAAGCUUGGAAAAGUAGAGGUGAAAUUUGCUAUGCUCCCCAUCCUUCAGAAGUUCUGCAAACAUCUCCAUCUUUCUGUCCACCACUGCUUCUCAUUUCUUUGCAGCCUUUGAAUUUUCUGGUUUUUAAAUUUUUUGUUUGUUUGUUUUUUGAGACAGAGUCUUGCUCAUCACCCAGGCUGGAGUGCAGUGGCCCAAUCUCAGUUCACUGCAACCCCCCAACCCUGCCCUGGUUCAAGCAAUUCUUGUGCAUCAGCCUCCCGAGUAGCUGGGAUUACAGGCGUGCACCACCACACCCAGCUAAUUUUGUAUUUUGAGUAGAGACAGAAUUUCAUCAUGUUGGCCAGGCUGGUCUUGAACUCUCAACCUUAGGUGAUCUGCCCUCCUCGGCCUCCCAAAGUGCUGGGAUUAUAGGCAUGAACCACCGUGCCUGGCCCCAAUUUUAAAAUUUUUUUUAUCCCCAGGCCAUUUAUCAGCCCGACAGCAAAAGGUGUCUAGGAUCUGAAUAACAAAAUAAAUGUAGACAGAAAUGCCCCAGAAAUGCUGCAAACCCCAAGCAACACAUUUUAUUAGCCAGCGGAUUGUAUAAAAUUUGCAAACAAUUUUUAUGCUGCAACCUUGGGCAGAGUAGACUGUGGAAUCCCAGAAGCCCUUGUGGUUCUCCUGAUGCGUCUUAAAACCCAGACCAGUUCUAAGCAACAGUCUCAAUUCUGCGACUGGCACAAGGGUAUUCUAUAUUACACAAAAUUGAAUACAGGUUGAAGAAUGGGACCCAUUCUUUGGCAGAUAUUUAGAAAGCUUUGGCACAUAUUUCUUAAUAUCUGCCAACGCUUUAUUGCAACAUACGAAGUGGAACAUAGCUAAAGCAGGGUCAUGCUCUUCUAUCAAAAAAUGGCAAGUCCUGAAAGGGAGGCAGACCUCAGGACAGAGGCUUCAAAAAGUCACAUAAUUAAAUAAC